rnacentral:rRNA from 1 species
UGGGGAAUAUUGCGCAAUGGGGGAAACCCUGACGCAGCAACGCCGCGUGAAGGAUGAAGGUUUUCGGAUUGUAAACUUCUUUGACGAGGGACGAAAAAAAUGACGGUACCUCGAAAACAAGCCACGGCUAACUACGUGCCAGCAGCCGCGGUAAUACGUAGGUGGCAAGCGUUGUCCGGAUUUCCUGGGUGUAAAGGGCGAGUAGGCGGGAUUGCAAGUCAGAGGUGAAAUCGAUCGGCUUAACUGAUAGCGUGCAUUUGAAACGGCGGUUCUUGAGUGAUGGAGAGGCAGGCGGAAUUCCGAGUGUAGCGGUGAAAUGCGUAGAUAUUAGGAGGAACACCAGUGGCGAAGGCGGCCUGCUGGACAUUAACUGACGCUGAGGCGCGAAAGCGUGGGGAGCAAACA